AGAGUUUGAUCCUGGCUCAGGAUGAACGCUAGCGGCGUGCCUUAGGCAUGCAAGUCGAGCGGUCCAUCCAAUUUUCCUUCGGGAAAAAUGGGUGGAUUAGCGGCAGACGGGUGAGUAACGCGUAGGAAUCUACCCCUUGGUCGAGGAUAGCUCACCGAAAGGUGGGGUAAUCCUGGAUAAGUCCGCCAUUGGCGGGGAAAGGCCGUAACUGGCCGCCGAGGGAGGAGCCUGCGCCCUAUCAGCUUGUUGGUAGGGUAAUGGCCUACCAAGGCAAUGACGGGUAGGGGCGCUGAGAGGCUGGACCCCCACAAUGGCACUGAGACACGGGCCAUACACCUACGGGUGGCAGCAACCGGGAAUCGUGGACAAUGGGCGAAAGCCUGAUCCCGCAACGCCGCGUGGAGGAUGAAGGUCUUCGGGUUGUAAACUCCUUAAUCCGCCGCAAGGUGGAGGAUAAAGGGCCCGCAAACUACGUGCCAGCAGCCGCGGUAAUACGUAGGGCCCAAGCGUUAUCCGGAUUUACUGGGCGUAAAGAGUUCGUAGGCGGUCUGUUGCGUUUAUGGUCAAAGCCUCUGGCUCAACCAGAGAACGGCUGUAAAUACGGGCAGACUAGAGCCAGCGAGGGGAGACGGGAACUCCUGGUGGAGGGGUGAAAUCCGUUGAUAUCAGGAGGAACACCGAGGGCGAAGGCACGUCUCUGGAGCUUGGCUGACGCUGAGGAACGAAAGCUAGGGGAGCGAACCGGAUUAGAGACCCGGGUAGUCCUAGCCGUAAACGAUGUCCGCUAGUUGCCCGUCCUUUUAGGAUGGGUGACGAAGGUAACCCAUUAAGCGGACCGCCUGGGGAGUACGGCCGCAAGGCUGAAACUCAAAGGAAUUGACGGGGACCCGCACAACCAGGGGAGCAUGUGGUUUAAUUCGAUACGAAGCGAUGAACCUUACCUGGGUUUGAUAUGCUAGCGUUCUAUUCUCCCGAAAGGGAGGAAAUCCGCAAGGAGGCUAGCAAAGCUGCUGCAUGGCUGUCGUCAGCUCGUGCCGUGAGGUGUUCCCUUAAGUGGGGAAACGAGCGCAACCCCCGUCCCGUGUUACUUGUGACACGGGAGACUGCCUCGACUUCCGUCGGGGAGGAAGGAGGGGACGACGUCAAGUCAGCAUGGUGCUUAUGCCCAGGGCGACACACAUCCUACAAUGGCGAAGAACAACGGGUUGCGAAGCCGUAAGGCGGAGCUAAUCCCUGAAAUUUCGCCUCAGUUCGGAUUGAGGGCUGAAACCCGCCCUCAUGAAGCCGGACUUGGUAGUAAUCGGAGGUCAGCAGACUCCGGUGAAUACGUUCUCGGGUCUUGUACACACCGCCCGUCAAGCGAGCAAAGUCGGGGGUGGCCGAAGGCUCCCCUUAAGGGGGGACGAAGCCAAACUCGGCGAUGAGCGCUAAGUCGUAACAAGGUAACC
rnacentral:rRNA from 1 species